AACACACAGAUCUGCAAGGCCCAGGCACAGACUGAACGAGAGAACCUGCGGAUCGCGCUCCGCUACUACAACCAGAGCGAGGGCGGUUCUCACACCAUGCAGGUGAUGUAUGGCUGCGACGUGGGGCCCGACGGGCGCUUCCUCCGCGGGUAUGAACAGCACGCCUACGACGGCAAGGAUUACAUCGCCCUGAACGAGGACCUGCGCUCCUGGACCGCGGCGGACAUGGCAGCUCAGAUCACCAAGCGCAAGUGGG
rnacentral:lncRNA from 1 species